ACCAUUAAUAGCGCUUCUCCCACUGAGCCGUCAAAAAAGGGCAAAGUGAAAACACCACUUUUGGGUGAAGUGGCAGCGUGUCGUGUUGUUUCUCUUCAAUCGGUGGUGUGACAAGA